AGCUGCCCAGUGGAAAACGGGCAAUUACUGUUUAUGCACCUAGCUGCAACACGUGUCUGGGCUCUCUCGGUUGAUGGUGAUGCCGGGUCUGAAUUCAGCAGCUGCAGUCAGAUGGCUUCAGUUGAGUCUGCCUUUGAAAGACCGAGAAAAUGCUCCGUGUGAUGGUAUCCUGCUAUUCCAGAGAGAUUACAUUGCCGCUUACUUGCAGAUGACGUCCAGGUACCAAACUACCAUUUAUUGAAGAGGUUGAAAAGAACUGGUAUGAAAAUUUGGAGUGGCUCCAUGUUUAAAAUGUGUAAUAAUAAAUUCCUUUCUUCUCUUCCCGGCCUGGAUCUAGAGUGUCAAACUAUCGAGAGCCUCUUCCAUUGCCCUCUGCCCCCAUCAACUUGCUUCAGGAUCGAUGAAAUGGGAAUCAAAUCAGGACAUCUGCUGGUAUCGGGAGGGCUUAAAGAACUGGAAGUUUGUUUUAAUUACAAAGGAUGUUUGCGUGAAGACGGAGGGGAAGAUUCAUCAGAUGGGGUGCCGGGACUGAAAUUGGCAGCUUGCAUCUCACCUGUUCAGGGGUGCCCGUUUGGACCCCGGUACUGGUAAGGGAAGCCCAGAGAUCUUUCCCUUACUUGCAUCCUGGUGCAAUGACCUAGAUGGGCCAUUGUAGGGGAAAAGAACUACCAGGGUGUAGGAAAACCCAGGUCACACCUCUCCAGCCCCAACAUGAUCCCUUCUCCCUUAUUCAGUCUACCACUUCCUGACAUGCCUCCUGCAGCCAGGGCUUUUCCUGCCUGCAGUGGAGGCAGUGCAUAGUUAGCAGAGCUGGUCUGAUGCAGGGUUCUCUGUUCUAGGAUUUCCCCCCCCCCCCGAAGUAGAGGGCCUUACACCUACCUGAUGGCCCCUUCGUACCAGCCUAACAGUGCAACAAGGUUGCAUAGCACUGACAAUUCUGGCUCAGAGACCUGCUCCCUAUCACAAAUCCAGAAGAACUCUGCCGCUUCAGUGAAGUGCUGUGUUUCCAUGCUGGUGUACGUGAGAGGAGAAUUUAGUCUAGGACAUUUGCUCCUUAGGACCCUUCUUUUUCUUUUUUUGAAAGAGCCCCACCAAGGCAUACUCUAUUUGUGCACAGAAAUGCUCACACAACUGUAGAUGCUCAAAUACUUGCAUAUUUUUGCUGUCAGACCUCAGGCCUCCUGACGUUACCACCCCAGUCUUGCAAAGGUGCAAAUGCUUCCUGCGGUGCUGAGGGUCUGUACACCGACUGGCUCUAGGUUAUGGUCGAGAGCUUACCGUGUCUGGUGGGAACCACAGAAGAGGAGGAAUACAGAACAUUUCUGCUCUCAGCAGAAUCAUCCAUGCGCUGUAAGUUUUCAAAAAUCUUUCAUGAGCCAUCAGCAAAUCUUUAAGCCAGACACUAUCUAGACUGAGGUGCUCAAAAUGUAAUUUACCUUGACAAUGUCCAAUUUGUACUAAUACAGCCCUCCUCAAGAACUCAUUACCCAUUCACAGAUGGAAAAUCCUAUAGCACUGAAGGGACUUCAUCUGGUGUUGUUCUGGAUCCUAUAUAACAGUCUCCUGUCCUUUCAACUUUUCUAGUGGUGUG
ensembl:lncRNA